rnacentral:rRNA from 1 species
CUACGGGCUGCUCCAGUGAGGAAUUUUGCGCAAUGGGGGCAACCCUGACGCAGCAACGCCGCGUGAGUGAAGAAGGCCUUUGGGUCGUAAAGCUCUGUCAACAGGGAAGAAGUUAUAAUUAUUUAAUAGAUAGUUGUAUUGACGGUACCUGUGGAGGAAGCGCCGGCUAACUCCGUGCCAGCAGCCGCGGUAACACGGGGGGCGCAAGCGUUAUUCGGAAUUAUUGGGCGUAAAGGGCGCGCAGGCGGUCUUGUCCGUCAGGUGUGAAAGCUCGGGGCUCAACCCCGGAAGUGCACUUGAAACAGCAAGACUUGAAUACGGGAGAGGAGAGAGGAAUUCCUGGUGUAGAGGUGAAAUUCGUAGAUAUCAGGAGGAACACCGAUGGCGAAGGCAUCUCUCUGGACCGAUAUUGACGCUGAGGCGCGAAGGCGUGGGUAGCGAACGGGAUUAGAUACCCCAGUAGUC